rnacentral:rRNA from 1 species
GACGAACGCUGGCGGCGUGCUUAACACAUGCAAGUCGAACGGAAAGGCCCUGCUUUUGUGGGGUGCUCGAGUGGCGAACGGGUGAGUAACACGUGAGUAACCUGCCCUUGACUUUGGGAUAACUUCAGGAAACUGGGGCUAAUACCGGAUAGGAGCUCCUGCUGCAUGGUGGGAGUUGGAAAGUUUCGGCGGUUGGGGAUGGACUCGCGGCUUAUCAGCUUGUUGGUGGGGUAGUGGCUUACCAAGGCUUUGACGGGUAGCCGGCCUGAGAGGGUGACCGGCCACAUUGGGACUGAGAUACGGCCCAGACUCCUACGGGAGGCAGCAGUGGGGAAUAUUGCACAAUGGGCGGAAGCCUGAUGCAGCAACGCCGCGUGCGGGAUGACGGCCUUCAGGUUGUAAACCGCUUUCGCCUGUGACGAAGCGUGAGUGACGGUAAUGGGUAAAGAAGCACCGGCUAACUACGUG